rnacentral:lncRNA from 1 species
CGCUAUGACGUCAACCAUCACGCGAACCAUUCCCGUUUGACGUCGCCAUUGCUGAAUUGGAUCAAGAGAAUACUGGCUACUGGAAGAAGUCACUAAGCAACAGAUUCAGGAAGUGUCAUGAACGUGAUAAUCCAUUAGGACAAAUGGAAAGGGGGGGGGGGGGAAGGACGACACCCAAACCAGACAAAGCUGCAGGCAAACACAUGUAUGGCAUAAAGAAAGUACCUUCCUGCAUCCCCAGAAGGUGAGGAUGAAGAAAUGAUCAAUGCACACAUCAAGAUGCUUCAGAAUGAAUCCAGAAAAACAAGACAGGACAGCAUGAUGAUAGACAAUCUAAUGUCACUAACUUUAGCCAAUAGGCGCAAGGGUAUCAUCAACAGCAACUGGACUGAAUCCUACUUGAAGGAUAUGUACCCUUACCUUUUCCAUGAAGAUGAGAGUUUGAGAGACUGUCAGAGGACCCAAUUAAGCAGAAGUUGGAAGCAGGACAUUUGAAUAUGCUGAUCCAUUACUAGAGAUAUGUAAGACUCCCAAGCAAGGUUUGGAGCUCAAAAACCUGAUCUUGGCUGCAGCAGCAGAAAAUGAGGACACCAGGAAAAUGAUCAAAUCAUGUGGAGCACUUCUGUUGAUUCCUACUAUUUUGGAAGAGAAGGCAUUGCUUUGUCAGCAUAGCCAGGAUAAAAAACGGAACAAUCGCCAAAAUCAUCUACAAAAGUAAGCCCGACAGUGCAGGUCUGACUCUUGAGCAGUGAUCAUGAAAAAAUCACAGAAAUUCUGCAAUCAUCAUUCUAUAUUACAGCAGAGAAUGAAGUCAUCUGCGAGACAACCACCUACCUCAUGACAGCAGUCUCUCUGCUUAUGUCGGCCCAUUAUGUAUUCAACUUAUCAUACAACCCCGAGAUGGGUACCACCCUCACAUUCAUUCAGAAGAUUCUGAUGCACAUAGAUUCCACAUCUCAACCCCCAUCCAAGGUCGUAAGAUGCCUGUAUGACUUAAAUGCUGUCCGAAAUGCUGAUGCCAGUAGUUCUUCAGUUUAAGAGAAAUUAAUUAAUUUGGUGAUGCUACUGCAACACAGUUGGUCACACUUUCUCUACGUGCAAUCACCUUAGGUGUUGUAUCUGUCUUUUAUGUGCAAAAUUGAUUGAAAUAGAUACUACAGGUUGACCGUGAAUUUAGACAUCCAGUAUGUGCAUUUUUUCGCUUUGCUUCAGUACAAAUUUCAGUGGCCCUUGAAUUGGAAAUCUUUUCAUAUCCCAAGAAUUACGUAUAAAUGCUUUAUGAAAUUUUUGUCACAGAUAGAAUAGGAUUUUGCACACACAAAAAAGAAAAGAUAUUUGGACCCAAAAUUUUUACAGAUCAGAUGGUCAACAACAAUUUUUUUUUGGGGGGGGGGGAUUGAAGACUAAGCUAUUAAUAUUCUACUUUUUGAUUUUUGUACACAUUUUGUUACUGUACAUGUAAAUAAGUUUAACACCACAAAUUUGAAGAAUUACAUUUUAAGUGUUCUCUAUGGAAUUUUAGUUAGAUUGUAAGUUUCAAGCAACUUAGUAUUUCAUUCCAAGAAUUAUACACAGGCACUUUUCAAGAUUAUGGCUUCCAACAUCAGUACAUGAGGGAAACAAUUUUCAAUGUUUACAUUUAUUGAGAUGGUAAGCACAUGCAACUGAUUUGAAACUAAUUUUAUAAAUUUGACAAAGCACUGUCAUUAAUUUUAAGCCAAUCUGCACACUUCCAAGCAUGUCAAAGGUAUUGCUUAAUAGCCCAAUCACCACAAUCAUCAUUCCCUUUAAAAACAAAUUGCACAAAAAUAUUUGAAUAGAAAAGGUCAGUAUCUGCUUGAAGAUACAGCUGCUAUAGGAGGCAGAUUUUGCAGAAAAUACCAGGGCUUCACAGUGAGAGAAAUGGUAUUAAGAAUGGGGGAUUCUGCGAAGUGCUUUAAAAAUUAAUUGAGAAUCCAAAUAGCACAUUUUAAAAUUGUCUUUUGUACUAUUAGUAGUAAAAUAUUUUUGUGGGUUUUCCUACAGCAAAAAUUGACAUUUGGGGGAUUCCCAUGUCAUGCAUGGGGAUUCUUAAAUUUAAAUUGUGUUUGUACGUAUGCUUAAGUUUGAAAAAAUUCUGAAUUUUAGAAGGUUUCUGGAAAGCUGUUAUUGGUUUUGAAGUACCAAAACAAUGGUAUUGUGUUGUAAGCAGAGUAUUAGGAAUUCGUGUUUGAAGGUUUCACUUAUAGUGAAUUGUUUCAAAUUCAGUAAAUUAUGAAUUUCAGUGAAUUAUGAAUUGUUUCAGUUUCAGUGAAGAAAUGAUACU